GAUCCCAGUUGAAGUUACUCAGUCAGUUACCCUCUCAGUCAAUUGCACCUUGUCAGGAUAAUUAGUGUGGCAAUAGUAUAUCCCAGUUGAAGUUACUCAGUCAGUUAGUUACCCACUUAGUCAAUUGCACCUUGUCAGGAUAAUUAGUGUGGCAAUAGUAUUUCCCAGUUGAAGUUACUCAGUCAGUCAGUUACCCACUUAGUCAAUUGCACCUUGUCAGGAUAAUUAGUGUGGCAAUAGAAUAUGCCUAGGUUGAAAAAACAAAGCAUGGUCCAAAGAAGGGCACAUCAGAAGAAGAUGAUCAAGAAAAGUCGCAAGAGGGUGACUAAGGAUGCCACGUCUACUAUUGUGCCUGCUUCGGCAGGCACGCCCACCUCGGUGGGCUCUGUGAAAAACUGUGAAAUUACUGAUAGAAGCAGUGAAAUUACUGAUAUUACUGAUAGAAGCAGUGAAAUUACUGAUAGACGCAGUGAAAUUACUGAUAGAAGCAGUGAAAAUACUGAAAAAAGCAAUGAAAUUACUGAAAAUACUGAGAUUACACAAAUUACUGAAAAAAACAGUGAAAUUACUGAAAACACUGAAAAAAGUGAAAAUAAUGCAGUUAUUGAAAACACUGAAUUUCCUGAACACACUGACAUUCCCAUUGCUUCAGAUGUUACUGUUCAUGCAGCUUAUACAGAUGCUUCAGACAAGACAGAUGCUACAGUUGACACAGCCUAUCCUGUCAGUUUGAGUGCCACUGAUGCCCCUGGUCAUUCAAGUAAGUCUAUAAUAUAUUCAGACCAUUUUUCACCAUCAGAUAAGUCUGUAAAAUCUAACAUGCCAGUCAACCCAAAGCUAUCAUCGGUACCCCACAAAUUAAAGAAAGAAUCAGUAGUUUUUCCUGAAAUUCAAAAAAAUGAACCCAAUAUGG